rnacentral:rRNA from 1 species
UCGAGAAUCUUCCGCAAUGGGCGAAAGCCUGACGGAGCGACGUCGCGUGAUUGAUGAAGUCCUUCGGGAUGUAAAGAUCUUUUGUGAGGGAGAAAGUAAUUGAUAGUACCUCAAGAAUAAGGGGUUGCUAAACUCGUGCCAGCAGCAGCGGUAAUACGAGUGCCCCAAGCGUUAUCCGGAAUUAUUGGGUGUAAAGGGUUCGUAGGUGGUCUUAUUAGUCUUAUGUUAAAGCCUGGAGCUUAACUCCAGAAGUGCGUAGGAAACGGUAAGACUAGAGGGUGUGAGAGGUCUGUGGAACUCAUGGUGUAGGGGUGAAAUCCGUUGAUAUCAUGGGGAACACCAAAAGCGAAGGCAGCAGACUGGCACAUUCCUGACACUGAGGAACGAAAGCGUGGGUAGCGAAUGGG